UACGGAGGAUGCAAGCGUUAUCCGGAUUUAUUGGGUUUAAAGGGUGCGCAGGCGGAACGAUAAGUCAGUGGUGAAAUCCUACGGCUCAACUGUAGAACUGCCGUUGAUACUGUCGCUCUUGAGUACACUUGAAGUGGGCGGAAUGUGUCAUGUAGCGGUGAAAUGCUUAGAUAUGACACAGAACACCGAUCGCGAAGGCAGCUCGCUAAAGUGUAACUGACGCUCAGGCACGAAAGCGUGGGGAU
rnacentral:rRNA from 1 species